ACUCCCAGCAGGUGGCAGUGUUGCUCGCUGUUGUGGUCCCAGAGAAGCUGGAAGAGUCUGGAAUGCAGAGCACAGGUGGAUGGAUUAACCUUGGACUGACAUGCAGGCAGCUCAGGCAUCAGAGAGAUGCAGUCCCCUGCUCAGCACUCAUAACUGUCCAGACUAUUUUUAUACUGCAAUUAGCUUUGAAAAAACUUAACUCUCCCCCAUGUCAUCUCUUCUGCAACUGCACAUGGGUUCCCUUUGAUUAUUGAAAAAAAUCUAAAUCUGAAAAUUAAGAGACUUCACUUACCAAUGCCCAUGUAGCAUCUGUCAGUGGCAUGUGGGAUAGAUAAGAACAGGAAAAGACAGGAAGCAAGGAGAGCAAUUAAGAGAUUCCCACAAUUUACAUUAGGACCUUUUAAAUUGUUGAUGAAAUCAAAAAGGAAUUCACCACAAGAAAAGCAGAGAAUUGGAAUUCAGUAGACCUAAGGAGCAACAAAACUAGGAAGGUGGCUAUGACUAGACUUUUGCCUCUGACUUUUGUCUCUGCUCCUACCUGUGUAUCUGAUUCUCUCUCUCCUUCUGUGAAGAUGGGUGCACUCUUGUUCUUGAGCGCAUGGGGGGGGCGCACAGCCUAACCCUCCAUCUUCUUCCACCAUAGUAAUUAAGUUUUCGUCCCAGGGAAAGAUUUCACAAGUGCUGUUUGGACCAAUCACCUGUACCCCAUGGAACAGGAUGAGGCUGAAUGAAGUUGAUGUGCCCUAACCGUGCAGCCAGGAGAAACAGGGUUCUGCUAAGAAUCACAGCGCCAACAUCUGUCUGGCUUUGAGUGGUGCCUGCUGCCUGGACGUUGCUCUACGCUGUCUGCGGGACUGGAGUUCCAGGUACAGAGACCUGCCUGGAUCAGAUCUGACAUGACCUUUAACUGCUAUAUCCUGGACUCCAUUGUCAGCCCUGUCUUCAAGAAAUGCCAUGCACCGUAUGCAUUUGCUUUUAUGAAGUAAAAAUGGAAAUUCCCGGUAGAAGGACACCGUGGAGGAUGGGAGACAGAUGCUCUGGUCAGAUCCCAGGAUACGACACCAUGGAAAUGCAAAAGAAGAAGAAAGCAAUGACAUAAACCUCAACUUUAAGGAGCUGAUUGGCCAGAUGACAUGGACGCACCUUGUUUCGGCAAAGUUUCAACAGCGCUUUUUGAACAUAGGUUGGCCUUGUUUCCUAAGGCUGAAAAGACUCAGGGAACAUUUGAAGAUAAGUGACUCAUCCUGUCCAUCUCUUUGACUUCACACUUUGGUGGGGAGAUUGGUAUCCUGAGGAAGGACCCCCUUCCUUUAGAUAGAGAAAAGCAAAGUCUUGAAAGGACCACUGAAUAAUAACCAGUCAGAUCACACAUUUGUUGCAAAUAUGGAAAAGAAUUUCUUUAAAGUUUUCAUCGUGUGGGAAUGGCAGGUAUCUUAGGACGAGUGCCCCAGAGGCAGAUCUUGAGAGAAGGAUUUGAAUGCAAGUAGCUUCUUGGAAGCUGACAGCAGGAAGCAGAGGUUCUUGGAAGGUGGGACAUUUAGACAAGAAGGGAAGAGAGCCAGCAAUAAAGGGUGUAUUAUGGGGCAACGUACUGAUGCAGGUAACUGGGCUCAGUGGCUCUGAGAAGUCCUGAGUUGUUCGAUCUCAGAUCAUGGAGGCCGGGGCAUGGAUCUGUGGACUUCCAUCCUUCAUUGAUGGAGGCCUGCCCUCGGGAACAUAAACUCCCCAGUUCUUCUGGCUCUCCCUGAGCCAGGGCAGGCUCCUGAGAACGCCCAAGAGAGCGUGGCCUUGCCUUGUAUGGGAAGCAGAGGAUUCCUGGGUGAUGAGCAGAUGGUUCUGCCGCAGAAUGCUGAUAACUGACAUACCCCGAGAAGCCAAAAACGAAAAUGAAUCUAUGGCUAUAAAUGAAUAAAUGAGUGCACUGAAAUUUUGUGGAGGGGUGUCGUAUUUCUAUGGUUUCGACACACCUUCUUACAAAAUGCUUAUUAGCUUCCGAGGGGAAUAGAGGACCUUUCCAGUGAAGAAGCCUGACACACCACCUAAACCUAGUGGUCAAAGUUAACGUGACCCGUCAUGAGACAAGUUAAACCACAUCCGGCCUGGUAGACCCCGUGAGAACGGAGCAUCACUUCCGGGGUAGCGCUGCCAGUGAAGCAUGAGCCGACACUAAUGCCGAAGGAAUGUCAGGCGAGCUCCACUUGAACGGCCUUCUGCAGUGUGUAACCUGCAGAACUUUUAAAAGUGUCAAGGUCGUGACAGUCAAGGAAAGACUGAAGAUCUGGUCUAGACUGAAGAUAUCUGAAGAGCGAGACCAACCAAGGGGAUGUGUUAAGAUUGAGCCGGAUGGAGCAAGAAGACAACAGGUACAUCGCAUUCCAUGGAUACGACAAGCAAUGCCUGUGCCAGUUUCCCAACUGAAUUCCCACAUGUUGGCAUCCAAACCAAAUCUGCAGUUUCUGGGUUGAAUGAAAUUCUGAGCAAAUUCUCACGAUCCCUCCUGCGUCUGACAACUAAGUCGUUUUUUUAGUACACCUAAUUAGAAUGCUUUAAAAUUAAUUUCUGCUACUGAAUUGAUAGAGACCUUGACUUGUUUAUUUUUCAAUUCAUUAAAUAAAUAUCUGUGAGUUACCA